rnacentral:rRNA from 1 species
CCUACGGGGGGCUGCAGUAAGGAAUAUUGGUCAAUGGGCGAAAGCCUGAACCAGCCAUGCCGCGUGCGGGAAGAAGGUUCUUAGAAUUGUAAACCGCUUUUGAUAGGGAAGAAUGGGCGAGAUUAAUCUUGCAAGAGACGGUACCUAUCGAAUAAGCACCGGCUAACUCCGUGCCAGCAGCCGCGGUAAUACGGAGGGUGCAAGCGUUAUCCGGAAUCACUGGGUUUAAAGGGUACGUAGGCUGCUCGUUAAGUCAUUAUUGAAAGGUCGUUGCU